AAAAAGAUGGGUCUUUGAUGUUCCAGCAAGUGCCCAUGGUGGAAAUCGAUGGGAUGAAGCUGGCACAGACCAGAGCCAUUCUCAACUACAUUGCUGCCAAAUACAACCUGUAUGGAAAAGACAUAAAGGAGAGACCCCUGAUUGAUAUAUAUUCAGAAGGUAUUGCAGAUUUGAAUGAAAUGAUCCUGCGUUUACCAAUAUUCCCACCUGAUGAAUAAGAUGCCAAGACGACCCAGAUCAGAGAGAGAACAACAAAUCGUUAUUUCCCAGCCUUUGAAAAGGUGUUGAAGAGCAAAG